UGUGAACUCUUUGCAGAGCAGAGGAAUGACCCAUGGAAAUCUCACUGCCGCAUUGGGGUGCUCAAUCCAGGGAAACAUUCAAAGCUGCUCCUGUCUGUCAGCUAAAGAUGACAAAUAUUUAUCAUCUCUGGACACCCCUCCAGCCUCUGAAAUAUGUACUCCAGUCAUGAAGCAGAGAAUGUUAUAGAGAAGACAAAGAAUUAAAUGAAAAGUGGUCUGAAGGAAGUUUUGUGGAGGAGUUCUCUCAGAACUAGGACCUCUGGGAAAGUGAAGGAAGUGCAACUGCGUAGAAGGAAAUAUUGGACAAGGACACUGCUGCAAGAAAGGUCUCAACUGAUCACACAGGGGGCUCUGAAGCUGGCAUAGCCCUUCAGCAUUGUCCUGAAUUGAGGUAAAAAGCCACCCCUUUGUAUUCCCAUAUCAAUUAGUCAUUGGAUGCAGGUCAAAUCUUGAGAAAGGCAACUCCCAUCAGCUACUAAUUACUUCCAGGAAAGGACUCUUCUAUGAUCAGCCACCAGCUCUCCUGGCAGGUGGAAGAAUGAGUACCUGGGUUCUGGGUUGGGCAGUUCACCACAGUGCAUCCACUACAAGCCACUGCUCGUGCCACUCAAUCAACCUGCUUUGUAUAGUAGCUUUAUCCCAUCUGGGAGCAGCAUCUUCAGAUUCUGGAGGGUCAUGAGGGGAAACGUGUAAGAAGAAGGUAAUUGAGAUGAACAUAGCCCACACUGCUGUGACUGGUCUUCUACUUCCGUGUCCCUCACAGUGCUCCUCUACUACCCCCUCUAGGUCCACCCUCUAUUAACAUCACUCUGGCCAGGGAGCUUUGUAAUUCCUCUCCUCUAAGUGUUGGUCUUUACUACCUCCAAGCUCUUCAAGCCAUCCCACCAGCAUUUUCAGGGCUUUACAAGCUUUAAAUUCUAUGUCACAGAAGAGUGCCCCCAUAUUGAUAAACUCUCCCUUAGCUAAUUUUAUGGUCUAACACUGUGGUCUAGAACCUUUGGGAUUCAGUUCCACCAUGCCACCUAGUUCUUGCCAGUAUGUAUUGACUAGGUCCUAUGCUCUUUCAGAGUAUAAUUCUUUCCUUCCUUAUCAGGUCCAGUACUUCCCAGCAAGUUAUAUAAAAACUUGGCCCUGAUUUUUGGUCUAGUGGCCAAGAAAGCAGAAGAGGGGAUAGAUUCUAACAUGAUUGAAUACUGUCCUGCAAGGCAGAAGUGUCCUCAUUGUCUUCAAGACAGAGGGAGGGUUGGUGAUUAAUAGGCGGGAAUGGGCUACUCCUGCAGGUCCCAAGAUUUUCUAAGUAUCUGGAAUUUUCAUAUUUUUGAGUGCAUUGAUUUUAAAUACUAAAGGGUUUAUUUUCUCAACAAGAAAAGCAGAACCUGACCUUGGGAAAGCAGAUUUUCCAGAAUUGAGAAUUUAACCUUUUCUGGAGCUUUGUUAUCCUUAUAAUUAAGUCUUAGGACUGAUCCUUGGUCUGAUCUGCCCUCUGGCUCUAGGAGAUAAGAGUCUCUUUAUGUGCUGCCAAAAGACCCUCGGACUUUCACAUUUGGCCUUCAAUGGGUGAUUAAUCACUCUCAACCUUUCAUUGUCUCUCUCUGGUGCAAAAAUUUCACUCAGCAACAGUCUUCUGAUUCAUGUCUUUUAUGGUACUACUGCUCCAUCCUCUCAAAUGCCUGCGUUGGCACAACUGCCAUUGCAUUCCUUUCCAUCAAUAUCUCAUCCCAGUUUACCAUCAGCAAAAUUUAAACAGUUGCACAGCUGCCACAUGCCAGAGAUUGUGAGCACUUCACCCACAACCAGUGAUAGAAUCUUCAUUACCAGCCAGUGCAUGCACAAUCCAGCUUCAACAUCCCAUUUUAGAAUUCCUCAGAACACUCCCGAUACCAACUGUCUCAUAUUAGGUUUCCUGAAAGACCAUGAGAUAGAGAUGUUCAUUGCAGGUGAAUAAUCAAGGAAAUUUGGUGACCAUGGAACUCUCACUCAGAUCUACCCUCAGAACAACCUGCUACAAGGAAAGAGGUUGGACGAGAGCCUCUAGAUGUCACACCUUCAUUUUUGUGUGUUUGUGUAGCAUUCAUACUGCGACCAUGGUCUCUUUGGUCUUCUCCAGGUCAGUGACUUACCACAGCAGGAGUACUAGAGCUUGAAUAUUUCUGCCCAACUCAGGGCUCCUCUAAUGGUCAGAAAUUGAUCUGGGUCUCCUCAUCAGCCUGGCCGAGACUUUUUCAGAGUUAUACCACAGUUUGAGGCUUUUCCUACUCAAUCCUACUUGCUUUCCUCUCUCCUUUCAUAUAGGUAUCUGGCUGGCAGCCCAGUCUGAAGGCUUGCCUACCUCCUCUGCUCUUUCUCUUUCAUAAGCAUUUACCCCAUUACAUAUUUACAUAUCUGAUUCUAGUUUGGAAUCGGCUUUUUGAAGGACCCUAACUGACAUUUGAGUGUUCUUGGAACAGUUCCUAUCAGUGAUUGAAGAAAGGAGGAGUGUGGAAGGAAAAGUUGGACUGCAGUGCAGUUCCAGUAAAGGGUCAUCUGAUUUCAUGGGAAGUUCUGGACCUGCAAUGGCCCUUCAGAGCUGUCCCAUAUUGAGGCAAGAGGGUUUACCAUUUAUACUCUGCAUCCAUGAGUCAUUGGAUAAAGGCUGCCACAAGAAAGGGACACAACUUGGGUACAUCAGCUCCUGUUGGCUGAAAGUCCCAGGGAAAGACUCAGCUGUGAGUCAUUAGCAGCAGACAUUCCUGGCAGGUUGAGGGAAUAAGUUCCUUGGUCCCCAAGGGGAUAAUCUGGAUAGCACAUAGCUUCUACUUCAAAGAGGAAACUAAAAAACUAUUGUUAUGAUUAAAGGACAAUGGUGAUCAUUUCUUCCCUCUUUAUAAAAUGGGGACAUCACAUUUUAUAACACUCGGUGGAAGAGUAGAGCAUAUUUGUGGGAUUAGUAUUGGGGUCAGGAAGAGAUCCCAUAAGCAGACAGUGAGCAAAAGAUACCCCACAUGUUAGUGGAGUGUACUAUGUAUGGGUUAUAUUUCUUCCUGAUGUUCUGUGCUUCCGAUCCACCUUGGGAAGAUGUUUCUUCCUCUUUUCCUUAUAAAGAGAACAGGAAAGAUAUCAUCAAUUAUUCAACCAUGCUAAUGUUGGCCAUAAAGUCAGGUUAAAGGGAGUCUCUUUCUUAGUGCCUGUAAAGUAAAUUCUCACAACAAAUAGAAAUAGCAAUGUCUAAAACUACAACUGUCUCCUAAGAAACAUGAGCCUAUAUAGUACUUGCUCAGCAAGUUAUUUAGUCUUCAGCAAACCCUACAAAGUAGACAUUACAAUCUCCAUUUAAUGGUUGAGUCAACCUCUGGUUGAAAGGUUGAUAAUUUCCCCCAGUGCUAUACAGCCAAGAAUUAAUAAACCUGGGAUCAAAUUCUGGUUCUCCCUAUUUUUAAGAGUAAUUUUCUUUACAUUUUCCUAUACUUUCAAAUUCCCUUGGAAAUCAGAAUUACAACUGUAAAUGUUUUAUUCUUGAUCACACACCCUGAUUUAAAGAAAAGGCAAAAGUCAAAGCCUCAGAACUCCUGGACUGUAAUAAUCAAAUCCAUUGAUAACUAUGAUCAGGAGAUAAUUGCACAGGUGUUGGGUAGCAGCACUAACAGAUUAAAUGCAACGAUCAGAAAGUUAUUCUGUGAACUGUGCACUCUUUGCCAGUAUGCAUUCACUCUACUGCUUUUGUCUCACAGUGUCUGUAUUCUCUCACGUGCUUAUUUCUCCUCACUUGGCAGUUCUCAGCCUAAGGGAUGCUGUGUGCACGUACAUACACACACACAUGCACACAAAGAUUUUCCUGCUCUUCAGUUACCAGGAUGCAGCAGGCUGCUAAGGUCUUUCAUUCCUUUUCCACAUUCAACCUUUUGAUGUGUUGCCUGUACCAUUCUUCCCCAUGAGCUAACAAGGCUGUCUGCAACAGAGUUUCAUGGGCAGCCAAUUAUAGCCAGGAUGUGAGGGUGAUCAGAAUAGUGCAGCCUGCUGGGAGACUGUCAUUUACAGAAUUAAAGGCAACGCAAUCACUGCUAAAGGGUUUGGUUUGAACGGACGCUGUAACCUUCCAGCCAUACUUCUAGUCAUCUGAAUUUGAUGGGUUGUUUUUGUGUGUUUCAGGUUGUUUAAUUUUUUUUUCUGUUUUGUAAGCAACCAUUGCUCAUAUUUUAAAAUACCUAAGAGUAAUGGUAAUCUCUUUGCAAUAAAAUAUGGAUGAAGGUAGCCUGCCUCAUAAAAUGCAAUGCUGUGAAAAGAAUCCAACAACCAUUUGAAUAUGUAUAUGUAAAUGAAUGAUAGUUGUGAAAAGAAUUUCAACAUGCAAAUGAGGAAAAUGGAAGGAAAUUGUGCCACUUUCUGUGCAUAAAAGCCAGGGGUGACGCCAUAUUACAGUUGUAAAUUUAGGUACUCCUAAAUCAGUAUAGUCUCCAUGAUAGUAUGUACUGUCCUCAAAUGUGUAUAAGCAGAGCACACAUGUUAUUCCAUAGAUUGAUGGCAAAACGGCAGGACAGAGUGAAAAAGAGUCUCUACUUUUAUGCCUCACUUUUUCCACAGUGAAAAAUCAAUCCUGAUUUUUCUUAAUUUACUUUAGUCUUGACAGAAAAACUGAUCUGAUUUUUCUUAAGGAGCAAAAAAAAAAGGGUAGAAAGAGAACUAUCAGGGGAGGGCAUGACGGCAGGACACUGUCUAUCUGCUGCCCACCAACCCAGUUGACGAUGGCCUCUUCCAAGCAGCCCCUCCCCAUUCACUUCAGCCAUAGUCCCUAAGUGACCUAACUGAUGCUGGAUUGUGCUGGCAACAAUUUCCAUCACUUAUUAAGGAGUACACAUUCAGACUUUGACACGUUCAAGUGUGUUUUCUGACCAUGUUGAAAUAUGAACAGAAGACUUGUGUGUUUAACCAACAUAAGCAGAUGUCAAGGAGUGCAAAAAUAUGCCUCUUUUAAAGUCAGUAUGUCUGUGUAUUUGUGCCGGCAUAUGCCCAGAACAUGUGUAUUUUGAGUGGUAAGCAUGAGGAGGAAUGAGGAAAGGAACAACAAUGCUCUUUCCCCCCAAAAAAAUGCCUGUUGUAAUUUCAGCAAGAUGAAAGCAUUUUUUUAAUUACUCAAUGAAUUUAUUACAUUUAUAGCCGUACAGUGAUCAUCACAACCCAAUUUUACAGCAUUUCCCCAGCGCAUCCUCCACCCCCCCAACCUGUCUCAUUUGGAAACCAUUCACAAUGAGAACAUUUAAAUAUUACAACAUUUUACAUCUAUUCAGGAGGGUGGGAGAUGGGCAAGUGGAUGUGGGUCCUGAAGGGAGGACCCUGAGAGAAUGUGGGGAUGUAGGCAGAGUUGGUGACUUAAGUCAGGGUUUCACUCUUUCAGCAGGAUGUGACAUCAACUUUCCCUGAUAUAAAAAUGAACUGACCUCAAGAAAUAUCCCUCAGGGGUGGAAUAGAAAUGUAGAAAUGGGUUAACCUUAAAAAGCAGCUUUUAAAUAUGGGAAGAUAGAAUUCAGGUAGGAAUCUUGGAGGGAACUAAUGUAAAGCAGGUAGUUCUAGCUAUUACCUUGGAAAGGUGUAUGAGGUAGCUGAACUUCUUCACAAAAAGGUAGAAACAGACUUAACAAUGGACCAGAGGCAUAUUCUUCAGGCAACUGAGGCACCCAGAAACUAAUAUUUCAAUAGUAGCUAUGUGCUAGACACUGUAUGAGGCACUUCAUAAAUGCAUUGUUUAACCUGCAUAUCAACUUUAUGAGGUAGGGACAGUUGUUCCCAUUUUCCCAGUGGAUAAUCUAUGGUGACACAAGUUAAAUGUUUUUCUGAGGAUCACAUCACACAACUAAUAUUCAAGCCAAGCUCUGUCUGACUUCUAGGAGCUAGAACCUAAGAGAGCUUCAGGUGCAACACACCUGCACACCUGCAUGAGAUUAAGGGCAAACAACCCAGAGCAGUCCUUGAAUAUUGAUCACAGAAUAUUCUAAUAAGAAAAAGAGAUUAGAACGCAGAUUCUUGAAGGCACUAGAAAUUUUCCAGACUUGAGAGUAGUGCCAACCUAAAUCUAAUGUAGACAGUCUGAGGAGCUUGGACUUUAUCCAAAGAAGAGGUGGAGUAGACCACAAAUGACUCAGAGAAUUCUGUAGGUCUUUGAUUGCCAUAUAGUUGAAUCACUUGGACUCCCUUGAGAGGAACUUGUGUGAGUAGAAUUAACUGAUAACCUCCAGUGCCACAGCUUCAGGAGCUGUUGAGGCCUUCAUGUAGAUGUCACAUUCCUCCAGAAUAUUUGAGCCAAUGUCUGAGCACAUCAGGAGUAUGAGAGUCAGGCCAUCUCUGCCAAUGCAAAACUCUAAUAGGCAAUAAUGGCUCUCGGGCUCUAAUCAACUUGGCCACAACUUUCUCAGUGCUGCUGGCUGAGGCUCUUCCUGCCCAAUCUUUCAUCAUUCUCUUGUUCUUUUAAGAAGUGUCAGCCCUCUGCAUCAUGGUCUAAGGCUCUUGUCUGCCUCUUUUCUCUCAGCCAUUACUCUUCACAUAUAGUCCUCCCUAAAAAUCUCUUGGACAUUUAAUUCAGUCUUGGCAACUGCUUCCCAGGGGUCCAAAAAUAACUCAGUCAGCACUGGUGUGGUUCAAGAAAGUCAGUGAUAAACUUGGAUUGGGGUGUGGACCACUCACAAUAUUGCUGGUAGGAAGGACCUCAUUUCACCUGUUAGGUGGGGCACAGGUAGCCUCAUGAGCCCAAGGCAUUACCCAAUCAGUGAAUGCAUUUACAACCAAGGUAACCUGGAAAAAUGGCCCAGGGGGAAGAUAUGGCUUGCUAGAAGGAGGAUUCUGGUACCUGAAAGGUACGGAAGGAAUACUUCAUAUAAAGACAGGGUAGUUUGGCGGGCCAUUACUGAGUUGUAUUAAAUUGCAAUGCAGAGAGAUUGUGAGAAUAUGAGGGCCAUUAACAAACUGUUAAAGACUAAGUAUGAGAACUGGAGAACCACUUUGAUAACUUACAAAGAGUUCCUUUUCUUCCGCAGUAGGAAAGCAGGCACAGUUGAGUUUCAGUCCUUACUAGUUAGAGACUUAAACAAAUGUGUUAUGCUAAAGUCAGAGCCACUAAAACCUGGAACAGGGCUAUCUCGGUGGAGGCCUUCAUGACUGCAGACUUAGCUUUACUACUGGGGGCCACAAAGGUGCCCUGUCCCUCCCUACUAAGAGCUAUUACUUUCAAUGUGGGGGAAGACGCAGCAAGGGUCUCGCCCCUACAAAGCAGCAGGUAUCCAUCCCCUCAGGACUUGUCAGCUCUUCUCUGGAUGCUCAACUGAUCACUGCACUUAAAUCCCAGCUUAGAUUAAUAAGUGAGAAAAGAGAUUGAAUCUCAAAGAGGCUGAAUUAGGAGGAGCCAUUCCUGGAUUUCACAGCACUUGGUCAAAGGAACCAGAAUGUGAAAAGCAAGAGUUUAUUGCCUUGGGAGCACUUUCUUGGGACCCAUGAUACAAAACUUUGGCAAGGCUUGUGGGGACUGAUAGCUCUUAGGAGCCUGAGGAAUGCAAUAUUUGUCCAUGCUGAGCAAAGAUGGAAUAACUGAGUUGCCAGAGCAGAUGGCACACAAAGGAGUGAGAGGCCUGUGGUUGUGGUCAGGCUAGGAUGACAGAUCAUGUAAGGUCAGGAAACCCACUAGAGCUGUGUGCUCCCCUGGAGGGCCAGAGCACAGUCUAUCCACCAAGGCCAUCUGGAAGGUGCCACUGAGGGACACCAGAGUCACUAAGAUGGUCAGUGGGAAUUCGUUUCUGCAGGUUGGGGCUGAUGGUAGGAGAAGAGCAUUCACAGAUCUCAGUGAAGGGAAAGACAACAGCUUGUAAGAGCCAUAAAUAAGCUUCUCCUGGAAUGUGUGUGAAGAGGAGGAUCUCAGUGGUGCCCUGGGAUGAGCUGUUGCUACCAUGGAGAUGAGCUGCUCCCAUGUCCUCCUAAGAGCAAACCUGUAGUGAGUAGUGCAAUCCAGUAGGUGGAUGGUCUGCAGGUGCCACACCUUCAGGUUCUACCUUCGUGUUCACUUCAUGGUCAGGCUUUUCUCAAGGAGCAUCUACUCAUGACUAAGCACAAUGGGAGUGGAGGAGGGAGGAACCCCAACACAGCCAUCUCCCCGCAAGUGCAGGACUCCUCCAAUAAGGAAAUCUCUUCUCUAGGGAUCCCCAUCCAUCUGCUUGAGAUGGUUUUCAAGUUGACUGCAGCCUGAGGUGUUUUCUGCUCAAUCCUCCUCCCUUUCCUCUCCUUUCGCAGAUGCUAUACCUACAACCUGGUCUGAAAGGUCCCCCUUAUUUCUGUUCUCUCUGCCCUUUAUCCAUCACAGUCAUUUCCCUCAAUACAGCUCUUCAAUUUCUAACUCUGUCUUAGUGUCUUUUUUCCCUAGAACCCAAAGUGGCAUAAAAACCCUACAGAAAAGGAAGUCAGAGACUACAGUGUGAGAAAAUGAGCUUGGAAACAUGAAUAUUUCAAUAACGACCAAAGACUAAUUCAUAGUUUCUGUGUUGAAUUUGUGUCAGUGCUUGUUUUGUUUGUUUGUUUGUUUGUUUACUGAUGCUUGAUUUUGUUGUAUUUAAUUACAGUAAAAAUCCUUAAAAAUUAAAAGAAGUUGCAAUCCCAGUUUUGAAGAGAGAAGGAAAGUCAGAAGUCGUAUUCAUUUUUUCAGUAGUUUGGGCAGGUAAGAGUCCAGCAAGGAAAAGCUGCUGGUGGAAGAUAAAGCAAUGAGCAGGAUACCUGGCCACAGGCCAGGGGGCAGGAACCAAAUAUCUACUAACAGCCGGGCUGCACUCUUGUCCAGUGAAGCAGAUCUAAAACAUUUAAGUUUCCAACCUUCCAAACCCAGACCGGCCUUUUGUUUUCCCUCUGCAAAGUGAUCUUGCAUACAAAGCCCUUGGUUUGGCAUUUUGGAAGUUUUUGAAUACAACCUUCUCUAAAUAAGGCUACUUAAAAAGGGGGAAUUCUAGCUGCAGGGAAAACCUGAGAACCAGAGCAAUGUUCAGGACUGACCAAAAAUAGGAUAAGGGUAUAGGACAUUUUCCCAAGGUGAUAACAUAAUUACAGCAAUACUGAUAACUAUAGUGAGAGGUGACUACAGGAUUAUUUGGUACAUUUGGAAGGGGAAAAAAGUGCCUAAACAAACUAACAAGGAGGUGAAACCAAGAAUAUGAAAGGGCAUAAACAUGGACAAAGAACAUGAAAGGGCAUAAACAUGGAACAUCCAACCAAAAGAGAAAAGGCACUCCUCAAAAUGAUUCUUCCUUUCUCACACCAAAAAACAGGACAUUCUGUCACAUUAGAAAUUUGAAAACCAUAGCCAAAUGUUAUUAAUAAUAAACACAUAACUUCUUGGUAUGAGCCACACUUCAAUAUUUUCACUAAUGAACAAAAUAUAGAGCAGACAAGAACAUAAUGUGCUAUUAAAAUAUCUAAUUUUAUCACUGCUAUAUUUUUGAUGAAUUAAACUUUGUUAGGUUUUUCACAUACUAAAUAUCCUAACAUGGUAAAUUAUGUCCAUUUGUGUUUUAUUAUUUUUAUUAUCUUCACUGGGUCUGAUUUCAAUAUCCAGGCUUUUUCCUGAACACUAAGAGAUGGUCUUGCUUCAUAGGCGAUAAGUUACUUAGCUUCUCUGAGUCUCCAUUUGGAAUGCACCUCAUAGUGCUGUUUAUGAGGAGAAAGAGAAAAUGCAUAUGAAAGUCCUUUUGUAGUUUCUUGCAUACAGUAUAUGCUCAAUGCAUUAUAAUUAUCAUUAUUAGUUGUUGUAGUUAUAGUACAUGCCGUGGUAUCAGGUACUGAAAUAUAACAUAUCCUGAAAUCCUUAUAGGAGAAUUGGGAAAUACACAAAGCUAAGUCACUUAAGGAACAAGAUGACUAUUCCUGCUCAUUUUAUUUGAGCCCACCUGAGAUAAACUAAGCACAGUCCAAACAAUUAAAACCACCAAUUCUACCCACAGACUUAUGAGAAGUAUUGAAUGAUUGUAUUUAAAUCUUUAAAUCUGGAGGAAUUUGUAAGGUAUCAAUGGAUACAUAGAGUCAUGUCACAAAAAUAUUGAUAGACUACACUUUAUGUUGAUGUUUUGUCAUAGAUUUUCAUGAAAAAAAAUUUAUUUUGCAAAGAUUUUUAUCUGUACUAUUUACUUUUUCCAGUCCCACCAAAGUGAACAGCCUGGUAUGUAUCCUCCACACAGCUUUCUCCACGCUCUUAUAAUCACUUACAUACUGAUUUUUUUUCUAAAGGUUUUAUUUAUGGAAUCAUAGUGCAUGUAUUUAUCUUUGUCUUGAUUUGCUCUCCUAACAGUAUAACCUGGCAAUAAUUCCCAGUCAAUAAAUAUAGAUAUAGCUCAUUCCCUUUAAAAGCCCCAUAAUAUCCCAUUUUUGAUGGUACCAUGGUUUAUUGAACCAUUUUCCUAAUCAGAGUAUUCAGGUUGCUAAAAUUUUUUUCUUUUUUUAAAAAAUUAAUUCUUUUCAUUGAUCCAUCAAGAAUAGUUUUUGGCCACGCCCAAGGCAUGGGGUAGUUCCCAAGCCACACCAGUGACAACACCAGAUCCUUAACCACUGGGCCACCAGGGAACUCCCAGGUUUCUAACAAUUUCUUGUCACUAUAAACAUGGCUAUAAUAAACAUCCUUCUAUGAUCUCUCUAAAAUCUUGGUUUUAAACUAAUUCUCUCUAAAUCAUUUCUAAACUUCUAAUAUCCAUGUAGACAGAUGCUUUUAUUUCCAGGCCGUGAUGAAGACCUGGAAGACAUAGCUAAGUCAAUAGGAAUGUCAUAUUUUUUUAAACAGAUGUUUCUAUAGUAGUUUUCCAUAACUGGAAGAAAUGUACAUUACCAUCAGCACUGGAGGCUGUGCCCUUCUCUCCAAAUUCAUCCUGCUAUCAUCUCCUCCAUCUCUAGGUCUUAUCAUCACAUCUUAAUUUUGCAUAACCAUAUAUGCGGCCCUGAUUUUGACUCCGGGAGCACUAGCAUGAGACAAAACUUCCCUACUUUCCAAGCUCUUCUCUCUUGUUCCUGACAUUAAGGCGGGGCUCUCUGGCCACAUCCAUGGUCCAUUACUGCCUCACCUGCUGUGCUGCAAUCUGGCUUUUGCCUCCUACAUGUGAGAUCUGCACAUUCCAACUUCUCCAUUCUCUGGCACGCUUCACCGGUCCUCUCGUCCUUUGCCUCCACUUCUCUGGCACUUCGUGAGCUCCCAUACCUUGAUGGAUAGUUAUGAACUUCUUCGUUUCUCUUUAAAUUUUCCAUGUUUUUCUUUCCCAGAACCUUCUAUAGAAAAACAUCUUCAGAUCAUAGAGCAGGAUAUGAGGAUGCUCUGAACACCAUACAUAACCCCUGUGUACUUAAAAUACUCUUUUAUUUAACUUUCUGCACAUUGAAAAUGUUCUUGGGAAAAGCUUCCUAGAUCAUUAUUUGCCUUUAGGUCUCAUGGUCUUAGCCCAAAACUGGCCUUCCUGAAACAUUUGGAUUUCUAGUAUCCAGAGUUGGGACUCCCUUUAGAACCACAAAAGAGCAUCCCUAUGUGUGGGUGCCAAGGGGAAGUGGCUCUUCUUCAUUAUCUGUUUCUCUCUAAUAGGAAUUUUCAAUAUCGACUAAUCAGUGGUCCUCACACUGACAUUACUGGAUCCUCUUCUAAAAAUGAGCACAUAGUCAAUUGCACAGAAUGUAAGAGAAAUCUACAAAAGCCUAAAAUGAAAAAAAAAAAAAAAGAUAAGCUUGUUAAAACUUGAGUAGCUUUUGCUCCUUCUUUCAAAUAUUAUUUCUUUGGUUUCUUUCUUUUUUUUUUUUUUUUCUUUUCUUUUUUCCUGCAAGACAGGGUGGAGAGAAUGAAGAAGGAGUAAUUUUAGAGCCGCAUCUGCAGUGAUAUACGUAAGAGUGUAGCUAAGGUCAUGUUCUCUGGCCUCUAUGACACUGGAAGUGGUCAGAGACAAGUGUGUAACUGCAGUCAGAAUAAGCCUUCUUCCUUUCAAUCUGUCUUUGACCCUGAAUUAUAUACUGUUCACAGAAGAACAAUACAGAUCAACAUGUCUUACAUCAUUAGAACCAAAGAUUCUACUCUCAUGGUAACAUUUCAGAAGGUCACAGUGGAUGAGCCAACACCAGCUGGGGACACAGGUACAAUUUCCUUCUCUCUGUAUCAUCUUUCCUGACUAGAAAGGCAGCUGAAUGCUCUAGAAGUGAGGGACCUUGUGAUAUGAAACAAGGUGAUGACUUGACUCAAAUAGGAUGGAAGUGAUACAUGAUCACCUUGUAGAGAUGCAAGUGCCAAAAACACAGUUGGAACUUUGAUAAGUAAUAAUUAUUAAAUCUGAAUAAUUAAAUAUAUCUAUUCUUAGGGAUUAGUUGACCCAAUAAUUAUUACCCAGGAAAAUUAAGUAUGUGUUUGAAAUCCACAUUUUAUCACCAAUGAUGAGCCUGUCAAUUCCAUUCCAUUAGCCAGUUUUCCUUACAGGCUAAUGUUAAUAUUUUAAAAGUCAUUGGAAAUCUGUUUAUAACCAUGCAUACUUACCAAGUCCAUGGAUUAUAAACUAUCAAAUAAUUUACUACUUAUGUAUAGAACAUCUAACAACCUGAUUCAUUGAAAAACAAAUAUAUCCAAACAGACAGCAUUUCACACUUUUCACUCUAGCGACUUCUCUACAAGAAAGGAAAAAGAUCAUUAUUUAUCAGUAAUGUUUAAAAUGCUGAACACUUUACAUUCAUUGUUCCCUUUAAUUUUUACAACUGUUUUAUUCUUAGCACUUGGUUAUGAGAAACCUUUAUUGAAAAAUAAAGUCAUAUGCCCAGUUCACAUAGCUGGCUGAUGACAGAGGCAGGAUUAAACCCAAAUCCAAGUCAGAGCCAAUAGCCCAGGCUCUUUCUGUGUUUUUCAACAUGAGGUACCUAUUCAACUAGGAAAAAUCACCAGAGUGCCAGGGACAAGGGAAUGCCCAGCAGAAUUCAGUAAAAGUAAAGGAAACCUAAAUUAAGCCAUUUAAUUAAUAAUCAUUUCAAGCUAUAUAUAGAGUACAAUUUAGCAGUCCCAUAGAUUUUUCAAAAUAAACUGAUUUUCAAUGAUAUUUCUUGCUUAUGACAGCUAUGUUAAACACUGUGUUUCUCAUUCACUGGGGUUAAAAACAUUUUCCCACUGCCACAAGCAACUUUCAAAGGAAAUCUGAGAACACUCAGCUGGGAAGAAACAGACCAAGUCACUAGGCAGAGACAGAAGCUCAGGAAUAACCAGAAUCUGGCUUGAUGUUGGAGACAGCUAUGGCUGCUUUCACUUUACCCAUAUUUUGUUUUAAUUUGUUUUAAUAUAAUGAUUUUUAUUUUGUUCCAUUAUAGCUGAUUUACAGUGUUCUGUCAACUUUCCACUGUAUAG